UACGGAAGCAGCAGUGGGGAAUAUUGCACAAUGGGCGAAAGCCUGAUGCAGCUAUGCCGCGUGUAUGAAGAAGGCCUUAGGGUUGUAAAGUACUUUCAUCGGGGAGGAAAAACAAAACUAAUAAUUUUAUUUCUUGACGUUACCCGAAAAAGAAGCACCGGCUAACUCCGUGCCAGCAGCCGCGGUAAUACGGAGGGUGCUAGCGUUAAUCAGAAUUACUGGGCGUAAAGAGCACGUAGGUGGUUUUUUUAAGUCAGAUGUGAAAUCCCUGGGCUUAACCUAGGAACUGCAUUUUGAAACUGAAAUACUAGAGUAUCGUAGAGGGAGGUAGAAUUCUAGGCGUAGCGGUGAAAUGCGUAGAUAUCUGGAGGAAUACCUGUGGCGAAAGCGGCCUCCUAAACGAAUACUGACACUGAGGUGCGAAAGCGUGGGGAGCAAACAGGGAUUAGAUACC
rnacentral:rRNA from 1 species